GGUGAACGCUGGCGGCGUGCUUAACACAUGCAAGUCGAACGGGAUCCAUCAGGCUUUGCUUGGUGGUGAGAGUGGCGAACGGGUGAGUAAUGCGUGACCGACCUGCCCCAUACACCGGAAUAGCUCCUGGAAACGGGUGGUAAUGCCGGAUGCUCCAGUUGAUCGCAUGGUCUUCUGGGAAAGCUUUCGCGGUAUGGGAUGGGGUCGCGUCCUAUCAGCUUGACGGCGGGGUAACGGCCCACCGUGGCUUCGACGGGUAGCCGGCCUGAGAGGGCGACCGGCCACAUUGGGACUGAGAUACGGCCCAGACUCCUACGGGAGGCAGCAGUGGGGAAUAUUGCACAAUGGGCGCAAGCCUGAUGCAGCGACGCCGCGUGAGGGAUGGAGGCCUUCGGGUUGUAAACCUCUUUUAUCGGGGAGCAAGCGAGAGUGAGU
rnacentral:rRNA from 1 species